rnacentral:rRNA from 1 species
GAUGAACGCUGGCGGCGUGCUUAACACAUGCAAGUCGAACGGUGAAGGCGGAGCUUGCUCUGCUGGAUCAGUGGCGAACGUGUGAGUAACACGUGAGCAAUCUGCCCCUGACUCUGGGAUAAGCGCUGGAAACGGCGUCUAAUACUGGAUACGAGCUGCGAAGGCAUCUUCAGCAGCUGGAAAGAAUUUCGGUCAGGGAUGGGCUUGCGGCCUAUCAGCUUGUUGGUGAGGUAAUGGCUCACCAAGGCGUCGACGGGUAGCCGGCCUGAGAGGGUGACCGGCCACACUGGGACUGAGACACGGCCCAGACUCCUACGGGAGGCAGCAGUGGGGAAUAUUGCACAAUGGGCGAAAGCCUGAUGCAGCAACGCCGCGUGAGGGACGACGGCCUUCGGGUUGUAAACCUCUUUUAGCAGGGAAGAAGCGAAAGUGACGGUACCUGCAGAAAAAGCGCCGGCUAACUACGUG